CUACUACUCCUUCCGUCCGGAAAUACUUGUCAUCAAAAUAAAUAAAAGGGGAUGUAUCUAGAUGUAUUUUAGUUCUAGAUACAUCCCUUUUUGUCCAUUUUGAUGACAAGUAUUUUCGGACGGAGGGAGUACGAU
rnacentral:pre_miRNA from 1 species